rnacentral:rRNA from 1 species
CCCUUCGGAACACAAUACCCUCGGGAAACUGAGGCUAAUAGUGUAUACCGUACCACCACUGGAAUGAGUGGUACGCCAAACGCUCCGGCGCCGAAGGAUGUGGCUGCGGCCGAUUAGGUAGACGGUGGGGUAACGGCCCACCGUGCCAAUAAUCGGUAUGGGUCAUGAGAGUGAGAACCCAGAGACGGAAUCUGAGACAAGAUUCCGGGCCCUACGGGGCGCAGCAGGCGCGAAACCUUUACACUGCACGACAGUGCGAUAGGGGGAUCCCAAGUGCACAGGCAUAGCGCCUGUGCUUUUCGGUACCCUAAGGCGGUACCAGAAUAAGGGCUGGGCAAGACCGGUGCCAGCCGCCGCGGUAAUACCGGCAGCCCAAGUGAUGGCCGAUCUUAUUGGGCCUAAAGCGUCCGUAGCUGGCCGCGCAAGUCCAUCGGGAAAUCCACCUGCU